GCCACCCCUAGCUCGGCCAGGCAAAAAGCGGAUUCCUUCACCGCCUGGGGUGGCUCCUAAUUGAAGG
rnacentral:sRNA from 1 species